CCUACGGGGUGCAGCAGUGAGGAAUAUUGGUCAAUGGGCGCGAGCCUGAACCAGCCAAGUAGCGUGAAGGAUGACUGCCCUACGGGUUGUAAACUUCUUUUAUCAAGGAAUAACGUGAGGCCCGUGUGCCUUUUUGUAUGUACUUUAUUAAUAAGGCUCGGCUAACUCCGUGCCAGCAGCCGCGGUAAUACGGAGGAGCCGAGCGUUAUCCGGAUUUAUUGGGUUUAAAGGGAGCGUAGAUGGGUUGGUAAGUCAGUUGUGAAAGUUUGCGGCUCAACCGUAAAAUGGCAAUUGAUACUGGCAGUCUGGAGUACAGUUGAGGUAGGCGGAAUUCGUGGUGUAGCGGUGAAAUGCUUAGAUAUCACGAAGAACUCCGAUUGCGAAGGCAGCGUACUAAACUGCCACUGACAUUGACGCUCGAAAGUGUGGGUAUCAAACAGGAUUAGAUACCCUUGUAGUC
rnacentral:rRNA from 1 species